rnacentral:lncRNA from 1 species
CCUGAGUGUGCUGGGAUGGUCCCACAGAGAGACGGUGGCUGGCUGAUCACAGACAUGAGCUCCAAGACACGGGCGCGGACUCCAGGGCUACAGGAACCCUCACAGGAGGCUGUGAUCUUUCGUCCCCCACGCAGCCUUCCAGGAGGAGAAAUGGAGACACCGCCUCAGGGAGCCUGUGCUUCUGUCUGUGUCCUGACUGCACUGCAUGAAGGGAAGAGGAUAUGCACGGGCCCCCAUCAGGCGCUUGUUCACAGGGGUCCCCAGACCCUGCAGGAGCCUUGAUGACAGGCCCCAAAGGGCCAGACGUGGCUGCCCAUGCCUGAGAGAGACGCAGAGGUGGACAGAGACAUCGGCCUUCGUGCAGACUUGGGACUUUCUGGCCGAGGAUGACGCUUCCUGGGAAAGCUGGGGCUGCAGGGAUCGGGUAGGUGUGCAUCGCUGUUGGGUGCUCAGCACGCAGCUUGUGUUACAAGGAGGAAACACACAUCUUUACUCUCCUACUGAACCAAAGGACAGAAUUUAGAGUCAUAAUAAGCAGACUUGCUUGACCACAUUUGAGAACGUUAAAAUGCCACCAUUAAAGCAGCAAGCUCUGUAUUCCCAACUUUAUAGGAUCUCAGAUUCUCUGUAUCAUGUGGAAGAGAAUUUUCCAGGUCAGAUCAUUGGACAGCCCACUGCACGUAUUCUUCUAGAGUGUUGGAUCAUUCUUGGGUGGAAUUUAUUUAAAUAUGGGCUUAUAGAGAAAAGACAGAUGGAACUGAGAUGCAGAAUGAGUUAAGUCUAG